GACGAACGCUGGCGGCGUGCUUAACACAUGCAAGUCGAACGAUGAAGCCCAGCUUGCUGGGUGGAUUAGUGGCGAACGGGUGAGUAACACGUGGGCAACCUGCCCCAAACUCUGGGAUAACUCCUCGAAAGAGGUGCUAAUACCGGAUACGAACUAGACAGACAUCUGUACUAGUUGGAAAGUUUUUCGGUCUGGGAUGGGCCCGCGGCCUAUCAGCUUGUUGGUGAGGUAACGGCUCACCAAGGCUACGACGGGUAACCGGCCUGAGAGGGCAACCGGUCACACUGGGACUGGGACACGGCCCAGACUCCUACGGGAGGCAGCAGUGGGGAAGAUUGCGCAAUGGGCGAAAGCAUGACGCAGCGACGCCGCGUGAGGGAUGAAGGUCUUCGGAUCGUAAACCUCUUUCAGUAGGGACGAAGCGAAAGUGACGGUACCUAAAGAAGAAGCACCGGUUAACUACGUGCCAGCAGCCGCCGUAA
rnacentral:rRNA from 1 species